rnacentral:piRNA from 1 species
UUUCAGGACCUCAUUGGCUUAAAAUCCCAU